rnacentral:rRNA from 1 species
UUCCGGUUGAUCCUGCCGGACCCUACUGCUAUCGGGGUGGGACUAAGACAUGCGAGUUGAGCGUCUCUAAGCUAUGGUAGAGACGCGGCGUACGGCUCAGUAACACGUGGCUAACCUACCCUUAGGACGGGGACAACCCCGGGAAACUGGGGCUAAUACCCGAUAGGCGAGGAGGCCUGGAAUGGUUCUUAGUCGAAAAGGCGUUGAAACCAUGCUUUUCGACGUUGCCUAAGGAUGGGGCCGCGCCCGAUCAGGUUGUUGGUGGGGUAACGGCUCACCAAGCCUAUAACCGGUACGGGCCGUGAGAGCGGGAGCCCGGAGAUGGGCACUGAGACAAGGGCCCAGGCCCUACGGGGCGCAGCAGUCGCGAAAACUCCGCAAUGCGCGAAAGCGUGACGGGGCUACCCCGAGUGCCGUCCGCUGAGGAUGGCUUUUCCCCGGUGUAAUGAGCCGGGGGAAUAAGGAGAGGGCAAGUCUGGUGUCAGCCGCCGCGGUAAUACCAGCUCUCCGAGUGGUAGGGAUGAUUAUUGGGCUUAAAGCGUCCGUAGCCGGCUUAGCAAGUCUCCUGUUAAAUUCAGCGACCUAAUCGUUGAGCCGCGGGAGAUACUACUAGGCUAGGAGGCGGGAGAGGCCGACGGUAUUCUCGGGGUAGGGGUGAAAUCCUAUAAUCCCGGGAGGACCACCAGUGGCGAAGGCUGUCGGCUAGAACGCGCUCGACGGUGAGGGACGAAAGCUGGGGGAGCGAACCGGAUUAGAUACCCGGGUAGUCCCAGCUGUAAACGAUGCGGGCUAGGUGUUGGGGUGGCUACGAGCCACUUCAGUGCCGCAGGGAAGCCAUUAAGCCCGCCGCCUGGGGAGUACGGCCGCAAGGCUGAAACUUAAAGGAAUUGGCGGGGGAGCACCACAAGGCGUGAAGCUUGCGGUUCAAUUGGAGUCAACGCCGG